GACGAACGCUGGCGGCGUGCCUAAUACAUGCCAGUAGAACGCACAGUUUAUACCGUAGCUUGCUACACCAUAAACUGUGAGUUGCGAACGGGUGAGUAACGCGUAGGUAACCUGCCUGGUAGCGGGGGAUAACUAUUGGAAACGAUAGCUAAUACCGCAUAAUAUUAAUUAUUGCAUGAUAAUUGAUUGAAAGAUGCAAUUGCAUCACUACCAGAUGGACCUGCGUUGUAUUAGCUAGUAGGUGAGGUAACGGCUCACCUAGGCGACGAUACAUAGCCGACCUGAGAGGGUGAUCGGCCACACUGGGACUGGGACACGGCCCAGACUCCUACGGGAGGCAGCAGUAGGGAAUCUUCGGCAAUGGACGAAAGUCUGACCGAGCAACGCCGCGUGAGUGAAGAAGGGUUUCGGAUCGUAAAGCUCUGUUGUAAGAGAAGAACGGGUGUGAGAGUGGAAAGUUCACACUGUGACGGUAUCUUACCAGAAAGGGACGGCUAACUACGUG
rnacentral:rRNA from 1 species